AGCGAUCCCAACCCUAUCCUGUUGCUCUCGCUCUCACUUCACUCUCUCUCUCUCUCACUUCAUUCUCUCUCCUGUACUACUCGACUACUCCGCUCUCCCCAUCCGGCGCAAGGCGCAAGCUCACGCCGCUGCCAACGCCGCCGCGCGCGAGCUCCCGCGGCCGCCGCCGACGCCGCGAGCUCACGCGGCCUGCCACCUAAGCCGCGAGCUCACGCGGCCUGCCGCCUCCGUCGCGCUCGAGCUCCCACCGACGCCGUCGCGCGCGAGCUCCCGCAGCCGCCGCCUCCGCCGCCGUGCGCAAGCUCACGCCGCUACCCCACGCUAGCUGCCUCAGGCCAUGGAGGAUCUGGUGCGGGCUACCAUUUUAGUACUAUUUAGUCCCUUCAACCAAACAGGCUAUGACUAAAAAGGACUAAUGUUUUAGUCUUGGGGCUAAACUUUAGUCCUAGUCCUGGGACUAAUGUAUCCUUAGUUCCUAACUUUUUUUUCAAACUUACAACUUUUUCAUCACAUCGAAACUUUACUAUACACACAAAUUUCUAAUCUUUCCAUCACAACAUUCCAAUUUCAAUCAAACUUUUAAUUUUGAUGUGAACUAAAUAGAACAUCCGCAGAGCAGUACUGGAGGAGGGUGGAGGAGAUCGGAAGGCUCGGCAAGUGGCUGGCCACCGAGGACGAGCAUGCAUGGUAAGAGGCUAAGAGCAUCAAUGACGCUUCAUGGCGACCAGAGAUGAGGUGCAUGCUGGAAUGCUGGGUGCUGCCGCAAACUUAAUUCGUGUUAUGGGAGACUCGGUCGGCCCACGACGGUGAAUGGAUUAAUUAACCUCACGAAGCUAGUAUCUAGAUCAGCAUCGACAGCUGGUGAGUCUUGGGAAGAAGAAAACGGCGGGUGGCGAGCUUCAUCACCGCCUUCUCGGCCCUGUUCACUUUAAUGUCAUUUUAAACCUUAUCAAUUUCUGGCAAUACCAAAAUUUUAGUAAGGUUGGCAAUAUUAUCAAAUUUUGGUAAGAUAGCUAUUUUGGAUGUGCUUACUUUGUUGCCAACGUA